CGCAAGGGGAGUGGCAGACGGGUGAGUAACACGUGGGAACGUGCCCCAAGGUACGGAACAACUCCGGGAAACUGGAGCUAAUACCGUAUGUGCCCGAGAGGGGAAAGAUUUAUCGCCUUGGGAUCGGCCCGCGUCUGAUUAGCUAGUUGGUAGGGUAAUGGCCUACCAAGGCUACGAUCAGUAGCUGGUCUGAGAGGAUGGCCAGCCACACUGGGACUGAGACACGGCCCAGACUCCUACGGGAGGCAGCAGUGGGGAAUAUUGGACAAUGGGCGAAAGCCUGAUCCAGCCAUGCCGCGUGAGUGAUGAAGGCCUUAGGG
rnacentral:rRNA from 1 species